AGUGAACGCUGGCGGUAGGCCUAACACAUGCAAGUCGAACGGCAGCACAGUAAGAGCUUGCUCUUACGGGUGGCGAGUGGCGGACGGGUGAGGAAUACAUCGGAAUCUACUUUUUCGUGGGGGAUAACGUAGGGAAACUUACGCUAAUACCGCAUACGACCUACGGGUGAAAGCAGGGGAUCUUCGGACCUUGCGCGAUUGAAUGAGCCGAUCUCGGAUUAGCUAGUUGGCGGGGUAAAGGCCCACCAAGGCGACGAUCCGUAGCUGGUCUGAGAGGAUGAUCAGCCACACUGGAACUGAGACACGGUCCAGACUCUGGCGGGAGGCAGCAGUGGGGAAUAUUGGACAAUGGGCGCAAGCCUGAUCCAGCCAUACCGCGUGGGUGAAGAAGGCGUUCGGGUUGUAAAGCCCUUUUGUUGGGAAAGAAAAGCAGCAGGUUAAUACCCCGCUGUUCUGACGGUACCCAAAGAAUAAGCACCGGCUAACUUCGUG
rnacentral:rRNA from 1 species